rnacentral:lncRNA from 1 species
UCAGCGGGUUGCAGAGGUCACAGCGGCCCACUGUUUCCCUGACCCACCCCUCAAAAGCCCGCCCCCGGACCGCUAUUAAACAAGACCUGGUAGUUUUUCCUGAAGGAUUUGCGGUCGCUGGUGGCCAGAUGAGGGGGAAGGCCGCAGGGAGAAGCCACACAGGGCCCAGCGCUGCCCACCUGGAGGAGGCGCUGGAGCGCGGCCGCCGCCCGCUCCCUGCCGGAACUGGAAGUGCUCGUCCUGUCCGGCACGGCGGGAACGCCGUCACCUCCGGGAAGCUCUUCAGCAUGCACACAGAAUGGCAGCUUUGGCCAGCCCAGGCUCAUGAUGGUACAUUUUGAAAAAGUUAUCUUUCUGAAAGUGAAUCUGUCCUGGACAUGUUUCAGUAUUGAACCCGCCACAGAGCCCCAGGUCAGAGGUGCUCCUCGAAGCCGCUGUGGUACCAGAGCUUGUCACCUCCCCAGUUGGUCAUGGGGGACACCGGGCAGGCCUCCCGGGACACCUGUCAACUCUAAGCAUCGUGUCCACGUGUGCCUUCCUCCUCCUACAGCCAGGUGUUAUAGGCACUCACCUGGCAUUCUAAGCUCCUGGGAAGGUAUUUUCAUGCGUGGAUAG